CAGAAUCGCAUCCCCAAUUCUCCUUUCCAAGAUGUUUCUUUCAGAGCCCUCCACUGCCACUGACCUCAGGGUUUGAGGCACCCUCCCUUGCCUUGCCUGUAGUUUUUCAUGUCACCCUAGCUUUUCAUGUCUACUGCCAGCUCAUGCCACACUCCUGAGCACAAGCCACCUUAUUUCUCGCCGGUCGCAGAGCCACGCAUGCAUGGUCCUCCUGGUUCCUCAGCCAUGGACCUCCUGUGAUCCUCCACUCUGCCUGGCCAAGUGCCCAGGGUCACCUCAGAUGACCAUAGCAACUGCAGCCCCCUGUUUCUGUCCCAUGUGCCUCAGUGUCUGACCACCUCCUCCAUUUGUUCCCAUGUCCUCAUCCAGCUCUCUGACCUCCAAAUUCUGUGGAUACUCUGGCCUCGUCAACUGAUGUGCACCCUCAGUACAAUCACUCUCUGUUCUCCCCUCUCUGCACUUUUUUUUGGGGGUGCUAUGGAUUGAACCCAGGGCUUUUGCUCUGAGGUACAUCCCUCAGCCCUUUUUAAAUUUUGAGACAGCCCUUGCUAAGUUGCCACAUUGCCCAGGCUGGGCUUGAACCUGGCAUCCUCCUGCUUCAGCCUCCAGAAAGCUAGGGCUACAGGCAUGUGCCAUCAUGCCUGGCUACGUUUUUUUGUUGUUGUUUUUGGGGUUUUUUGGUACUGGGGAUCGAACUCGGGACCUUGUGCUUGCAAAGCAGAAGUGUGAAACCUGAAACCACUGAGGUAAAUCCCUGGCCAGAGGUAAAUUCAGGUUAAUACUGAUUUUUUGUGUGUGUGUGUACCAGGGAUCAAACUCCGGACCUUGUGCUUUUGAGGCAGGCGGCGGAACAACUGAGCUAAAUCCCUGGUCCCUGGCUACAUCUUUGUGUGUGGGUGUGUGGUGCUGAGGAUGGAACCCAGGGUCUCCCACCUGCUAGGCAAGUGCUCUACUGUCCAGCUGUUCAGGCCCUGAGCCUGGGAAUUGUCUGAAUCCUGUUUUUCUCCUCCACACCCACAGUCCAUCAGAAGGCGAUUCCCACUGAUUGGCUCUGGAUCCUAACUCUGACCACUUCCCUCCACUACUUCUGUGAUCCAAACCACAGGUGCCAAGUGGCCUGCUUCCUACCUUGCACCCCCAAACCUCUUCUCCACACAAUGACCUCCAAACAGAGACUCAAGAUCCCCAGUCGCAAGCACAGUCUGUGAACACAGGAAAAAAAUGGGCAAAAUAAUGAAGAUCGAGGGUUGCCUGAGUCUGCUUUUUCCACUUUCACCAGGGCAAGGGCUGGUUCCCCAGCCCUUGAGGGUCACAGCACCCACCCCAUUGGCAGGUGAGAACUUUUGGCUCUUUCAUCUCAAGCCCCAGUGGGUUCUUCUGAACCAGAGGGACUGACAUGGCACCUGCCUCUCACUGUUUGGGGAGGAGGGAGGCUCAGAAGGGUCCAACUUUGGGAAAUGGCCCAAGGGAGUGCAUCUGAGCUCCAGGCUGCCUGGUGGCCAGGCAGAGCCACCAGCCCUCCCAUCACAAGUGUGCCCUGCGGGGGCCCU
ensembl:lncRNA